GUACUCGCCUUGUCUUUUAAAGUGAAACCGCGAAUGGCUCAUUAAAUCAGUUAUGGUUCACUAGAUCGUACCUCAUCCUACUCGGAUAACUGUGGUAAUUCUAGAGCUAAUACAUGCAACUAGGCCCUGCCCGGCCGCUCUCACGGGCGGUCGGAAAGGGCGCCAUUAUCAGCCCAAAACCGACCGGGUCGCCCCGUCCGCGGGGCUCCCGUCCUUAUACCCUUUGACGACUCUGGAUAACCUUCUAGCGGAUCGCCGGUUCACUAGGUCGGCCGGGCGGCGACGUCCGCGUCCGACCUACGGCGACUAGUCUUUCGAAUGUCUGCCUUAUCAACUGUCGACGGUAGGUUAGACGCCUACCGUGGUCGUAACGGGUGACGGGGAAUCAGGGUUCGAUUCCGGAGAGGGAGCCUGAGAAACGGCUACCACAUCCAAGGAAGGCAGCAGGCACGCAAAUUACCCAAUCCCUGCACGGGGAGGUAGUGACGAAAAAUAACGAUACGGGACUCUUAACGAGGCCUCGUAAUCGGAAUGAGUCCGCUCUAAAUCCUUUAACGAGGAUCUAUCGGAGGGCAAGUCUGGUGCCAGCAGCCGCGGUAAUUCCAGCUCCGAUAGCGUAUAUUAAAGUUGCUGCGGUUAAAAAGCUCGUAGUUGGAUUUGGGUUUUCGGGCCGGCGGGCCGCCGCCUUCGAGCGGCGCGUUUCCCGCCGCGCCCCCGGAACCGCACGGUCGCAGAGGCCCCCGCGGUGCUCUUGAGUGAGUGUCCGCGGUCUCGGGUCGCCGAACGUUUACUUUGAAAAAAUUAGAGUGCUCCAGGCAGGCCGGUAAAGCGUUUUUAAACCCGCGCCUGAAUAGUCACGCAUGGAAUAAUGAAAGAGGACCGGUGGUCCUAUUUUGUUGGUUUUCGGGAUUUUCCGCCGUCAUGAUUAAGAGGGACGGCCGGGGGCAUUCGUACCGCGGCGCGAGAGGUGAAAUUCUAGGACCGUCGCGAGACGAACCGUUGCGAAAGCAUUUGCCAAGAAUGUUUUCCUUAAUCAAGAACGAAAGUCAGAGGUUCGAAGGCGAUCAGAUACCGCCCUAGUUCUGACCGUAAACGAUGCCACCUGACGAUCCGCCAGGGUUACUACCAUGACUCGGCGGGCAGCCCCCGGGAAACCCAAGCCUUCGGGUUCCGGGGGAAGUAUGGUUGCAAAGCUGAAACUUAAAGGAAUUGACGGAAGGGCACCACCAGGAGUGGAGCCUGCGGCUUAAUUUGACUCAACACGGGGAACCUCACCCGGCCCGGACACCGCGAGGAUUGACAGAUUGAGAGCUC
rnacentral:rRNA from 1 species